UACAGAGGUCCCAAGCGUUGUUCGGAUUCACUGGGCGUAAAGGGUGCGUAGGCGGUUGGGUAAGUCUGUCGUGAAAUCUCCGAGCCCAACUCGGAAACUGCGUCGGAUACUAUUCAACUCGAGGAAUGGAGGGGAGACUGGAAUUCUCGGUGUAGCAGUGAAAUGCGUAGAUAUCGAGAGGAACACCAGUGGCGAAGGCGGCCAACUGGACGGUGACUGACACUGAGACGCGAAAGCGUGGGGAGCAAACAGG
rnacentral:rRNA from 1 species